rnacentral:rRNA from 1 species
UACGGAGGGUGCAAGCGUUAUCCGGAUUCACUGGGUUUAAAGGGUGCGUAGGAGGGCAGGGAAGUCCGUGGUGAAAUCCUAGAGCUUAACUCUAGAACUGCCGUGGAUACUCUCUGUCUUGAAUCCCGUGGAGAUGAGCGGGAAUAUGUCAUGUAGCGGUGAAAUGCUUAGAUAUGACAUAGAACACCAAUUGCGAAGGCAGCUCGUUACACGAAGAUUGACUCUGAGGCACGAAAGCGUGGGAUCAAACAGG